UACGUAGGGGGCUAGCGUUGUCCGGAAUCAUUGGGCGUAAAGCGCGUGUAGGCGGUCCGGUAAGUCCGCUGUGAAAGUCGGGGGCUCAACCCUCGAAUGCCGGUGGAUACUGUCGGGCUAGAGUACGGAAGAGGCGAGUGGAAUUCCUGGUGUAGCGGUGAAAUGCGCAGAUAUCAGGAGGAACACCAAUUGCGAAGGCAGCUCGCUGGGACGUUACUGACGCUGAGACGCGAAAGCGUGGGGAGCAACAG
rnacentral:rRNA from 1 species